rnacentral:rRNA from 1 species
CAGCCGCCGCGGGAAUACGUAGGGCGCAAGCGUUAUCCGGAAUUAUUGGGCGUAAAGAGCUCGUAGGCGGUUUGUCGCGUCUGCCGUGAAAGUCCGGGGCUCAACCCCGGAUCUGCGGUGGGUACGGACAGACUAGAGUGAUGUAGGGGAGACUGGAAUUCCUGGUGUAGCGGUGAAAUGCGCAGAUAUCAGGAGGAACACCGAUGGCGAAGGCAGGUCUCUGGGCAUUAACUGACGCUGAGGAGCGAAAGCAUGGGGAGCGAACAGGAUUAGAUACCCCCGUAGUCCCUGUCUCUUAUAC